rnacentral:rRNA from 1 species
GUAGGUGGCAAGCGUUGUCCGGAAUUAUUGGGCGUAAAGCGCGCGCAGGCGGUCCUUUAAGUCUGAUGUGAAAGCCCACGGCUCAACCGUGGAGGGUCAUUGGAAACUGGGGGACUUGAGUACAGAAGAGGAAAGCGGAAUUCCAAGUGUAGCGGUGAAAUGCGUAGAGAUUUGGAGGAACACCAGUGGCGAAGGCGGCUUUCUGGUCUGUAACUGACGCUGAGGCGCGAAAGCGUGGGGAGCGAACAGGGAUUAGAUACCCUGGUAGUCCACGCCGUAAACGAUGAGUGCUAAGUGUUAGGGGGUUUCCGCCCCCUUAGUGCUGCAGCUAACGCAUUAAGCACUCCGCCUGGGGAGUACGGCCGCAAGGCUA